UUCCAUAAAAAUGGCAACAAACGUAAAUAAUGUGUUGAUUUACAAAUAUAUUCAUUAUUAUUAUAUAUUAUCCCUCUAUCUCGUACUAAGUUAAAAAAUGAUUGGGUUUCCUGGAGAGUCCCCACAUACCGCGACAUAUUUCUUCUUCGCUUUUUGUAACGUAUGUCAACAUCUGUUUUUUUUUUUAUUCACCUGACUCUAGUUGCGAAAAAAGGUCUUUCCAUUGCAGUUUUGCGUGAUAUACCAGUUGCGCUACGCCUGAAAUACCACCUCUUGACAGCGC